UCACCUGGUGGAGUUUUGGGUUGGAAAGAAAACCUGCAGCCUCUCGGCCCUCCAUGGCACAUGAUUGCCCACCCCUGAUCUAUACCUACAGGCAUUUUGAAAGUGGCCAAUUAAUCUAAUUCUACGUCUGCAUGUGGGAAACCCACACAGACACAGGGCGAACAUGCAAACUCCACACAGAAACACCCUGACCUGGAUUCGAACGCAGGACCUUCUUGCUGUGAGGUGACAGUGCUAACCACUACACUACUGUGCCGACAUAAAUCGAAUCCAUGUGUGGAAAAUAACUUGUGUCAUGUUUAAAUUCUGUCCUUUAGAUGUCAGCUCUGUUCUUUUAAUCUAAAACUGUGGUUGCUUUCCGAACCUCUCUCUUUAAACCUGACACCACAUCUUGUGAGGUUGUGUUCCUCAUCGUGUAUAUUCAUACUUUUUAAAUGCUACUUAUCCCAAAUUUAUGCUUUUUUUUUUUUGAAAGCUAAGUAGAAUUAGUGUAGUAGUCUUUGAAAGUUUCAAGCUUUGGGUAUUUUUCGUCUUAAUUUUGAAAUUUGUCUACUAAAGCAAAAACACAGGGGCACUUUGCAGAGCCUGAAAGUGAAGCAGUCUUUACAAACCAGUGAUUUCAGGAGGGUUAUCUGUCUCCUGGUUGGUGCACGGCGUAAUAAAACCCACACUGCUUUCAUCUGCAGAUAAUUGACCCAAAAAGGAUUUUUGCAGACUAUAUAGAACACUGAACCUUUGAAACUGAGUAAAUUUCAUACAGCUAAUGCGCUAUUCAAGCAGGUCAUCUGAGGCUGAAUCGCACCGGCAGAGAGCACCGUAUUCAUCCCCUCCAACUUUUGCUACAUCUGAGAAUGAAAGGGAGCAUUUUGAAGUGCUGAGACGAGGUAUUAUAAAGACAGGAGUAUUGACAGUCACUGACAGUGUUUGGUGAAAUUGCAGGAGAGGCAGCCUUAGUACUUCAGGACAGGUUCCUAUUGAAUACUUAUAUUCACAUCCAACCUUUUUGGUGCACUGAAAAAAUCUGUUGCAAUGGACUUAUUGACCCUGGAAAAUAAGGAUUCAUUUAUGCUUGACGGAGAGUUGGUAUUUCUGAAAUUAACAUGAGUUAUGAAUGUCAGCUUAAUGGUCAUGUCUUACAAACAAUGUGACCUUCUGCUGUGCUGACAUGACUUCUUAAUAUAUACACACAUUAAUAAACUUGAGAUCGUCAUUUCAAGAAUUUAAUGCACCUGAAAAAGUGUAGUUCAAAACAAUCAGUUGAUGACACAGCAACAUACAGUAUUUACAGUUUCUAAACUUGCCUCUUUUUACACGUCAGCCUCUAUUCAGGUUCUUAAUUAAACACACUAUUUAACCGCAGGCACUCAAGAUGCAGGACACAAAUGUUGCUAAAUUUGCCCAAAGCUCUAACAAAAGUAGGCCAGUACCCGAACAGGAGUUCAAGUUCAGAUCAUGCAUAAUACAUUGAGUUCACGAUCAGUGCAAUGGAGCCAGCAAUAUUCAAGAUGGUGAACACAAAGCUGCAUCCUGCGUGCCUCACUGUUACACACGCUGGUACCAGCUUUGGCUCUAAACUUAACAUCAAACCACCAGAGUGCUUUAGAGGUGGACUCCAGGUCAGGAGGGCAGUUCAGGUUCAAGACGAAAAGCUGCCACAAAUCAAGUUCUGCAUGAAGAGCAAAGUGAUAUGAAUGAACAUUCGCCUGCACAAUUAAAAAAAUCAAAAUCUACUGAGUGUACUUUUCUUCUUAUUAUGAGUGGAAAUAGGUCUUUACACUUUAUAACAGCCACAUUGACCUAACAUGUCUGGAUCCUUUCUCCAGAUGUGUAAAAAUUACAGCUUCAGUCAAGAAACUCAUUGAGAAAAUUUUGCGUGCAGCACUGGCAGCCUCUUUAACUCAUUACAAUACAUUAAGUUCUUGUUGUGGCUUCUUAAAAAGGAUUUAUAUCUGAGCUUGUAAGAUCAGUUUAGCUUAUAAUAUUUCUUAAUAUUUCUUACAUAAAUGCACUCUGUGGUAUUUGAAACAAACAUUAUCAUCUCAUCUUUUUUCUCUCUCUGCAUAUAAAGUCCUUGAGAAAUCAGCAUACUUCCUCACGGAGAGUUUAAGUAGUUCAUCAAGGUGAUUUUUCAACCAACCCACAGUUUAAAUUUCAAUCAAGUUGAAUCACAAUCCUGAUUUAAAAGCAUCAGUUCACUCAAAGCAAAGCAGAAAUCAGUUUUUGCACCAGGCAGGAGAAAAACAUGAUAACAAUUUUUAAAAAUUAAAUAAAAGAAAAGGUUAAUACACUUCGGCACAGACACCAAUGAGCAGUACAUUAAAGGGUCCUGGGAAGGAUUUGGAGACACACAGUCACACAAAAGUAGCAAGGGCAUCUCCAGAUCCUUUUUGAUGAGGGUGACUCAACUGGGGCAUUGCAGGGGUGGCUGGGGUAUGUGAACACACACACACACACUCACACACACACACACACACACACACACACACACACACACACACACACACACACACACACACACACACGUGCGCACAGAUUAACAGCUUUUACCAUCACGGUCUUUACCAUCUACAUUAACAACUAUCAUUUAAUAUCAUCCAGCUGUUUUAAUCUUGAGUCAAGUCAGAUUCUCAUAUCACAGUUUUAUUGUGGCUGAAAAUGAAAAAGUUAUGAUAAUAUUGUCACAGUUGUUAUGGUCAAUUUAGAAGAAGAAAAACCAAUGCAACCAGCAUAAGGAACCACCACCACCCCCUUUCUUUAAAUCUGUAAACUACAUUAGUAUUACUGAACACUCUUUAAUUUAUAUAUUUUUUUGCACAAUAUCAAUAUUUAUUCUUCUUAAAAAGACAUUAUUGCCUGUUUAUUCCUGCUGCCCUAGUCCUUAGUAUGAUGUUAUUACUUUGAAAGACUGCAUCUGCCCCCGAGUUCAUGUAUCUACCAGUGCUUUUCCACCAGCACCUACUCAGCUCUACUUUUAAGGGUCCUCCAUUGUGUGAUAGCACCUGGUACAAGGUACUAUUCUGGUACCCACUCGGCUGGGGUCCCAAGCAAACUGAGUCAAGCUGAAAAUAUGAUGCCAGAAGACCACUGAUUGACCAUGUCACUGAAUGAGUCAUUAGAGCAACUUCUUUAUGAGAAUCAAACCCGCCAUUUUUAAAACCUGGCAAAAAGCCACAGACUGAGCUGCAGGUGUACCAUCACCUUAAUGUCCUCCAUUGUUGUGUGGGGCUUGUGCCGCUUACAAAUGACAUCAUGGGGGUUUCAGGUCUCCUUGUCAUGAUGACCCAACCCACAUUGAGGUGGUCUUCAAUAGUAAUGUGAGUAGCACUAAACUGUGUUAUAGAAAAGCAGCAUAAAAUAGUCUGUUUUAGUGUGAGUGAUGCCUCUGAUAAGCCAAAUAGCCAGUCAUAGCUUGGGAUUUUGAGGUGGCCACAUGGAUCUCAAGGGGGCCAGUGCCACCGUUGGCCACCCCUCUGGACAUGCCCCUGUAUAGAGGACACCAGAAGCACAUCUUGGUGCAGAGUAAAUGAAACAUCAAUGCUGACAGAAUAAACUAGGAAGAUAGUAUCUUAAGUCUGGUCAACUUGCAGGAUUAGAUGAAUGUCUGCAUCACAGUUGUUAAAUUUGGUGAAUUUAUGAAGUGCAAGAACUCAUCGCAGCCGAACUACCAACACAUGUAUUAGUGUGUGAUACAGUUCACUGAGUGCUAAGAAAAAAUUGAAAAGGAAACACAGGAAAGUCUGAUGAAAGAAAGUCUUGAGAGACAACUAUGGCUGAAAUUGUCUUUUCCUGAUGUUUGGUCUUUUACUGCAAAGUAGAGCUUUAUAUUUUCACAGGAAAACAAACAUGAACCAGUCAGAGUUUCCAGUGCAGGCAUCUUUAUGAACUGUGGGUAUGAACUUUCACACUUCGACUCAUACAAUCACACAAAAACAGACUAGGACCUCUUACUAUUAGACAAAAGACUUGCUUCAAAACCUUUUUAAUCUGAAAACUUCCAUCAUGCAGAGAUAGACUUUUACAAGGGAAUGAACUGAAAGAUGAUGGUGAGUCUGUACUUCACUUGUCAUAACUGAUUAUCAGCAAUAAAAAUGAUUCUCACCAACAGGAAAUUUUGUAGCUUAUCUUCUCCCCCUGGUGGCACAAUAAUGUACUGUUCACAUGAGACAGGCUUUUCUCAGUAUCACAAGCUUCAAAUUCACACUGAAGGGACAAAUAAAGGUGUGAAGGGCAGUUACUCACAGGAGGAGCCAGAACUACAUUUUGACCUUUUGGAUGAAUGAUUAUAUUAAUUCAGGCUGAAAGUGAAUGUAACUUGUUUCAGUUUCUUCAAAUACCAGCAAAGUCUUUCUGUUUCAACCACUUGGAGAGAUCAAUAAGAAUUAACUGGGAAAUUUCCAGUUAAUCUGGAUCUGGAUCAAAUCCAAGGCACACAAGCAAAUUUACUGAUAUGCUUUAUAUCAGGACAAAUACUGGGCAGAAUCUACAAUGUAUAAUACUACUGAGUGUGAUGUGUCAUAUGUUACAUACACAUGAAAUAAAAUAGCCAAAUAUCCUAAAUUAAUUACAAUUUAAAUCUCUUCUGUCACAAAAUGAUUUCAAAAUCUGUACAUUUUUAACGAUUGAACAUAUUGUAGAGUAUAAAAACAGCCAAACAUACUGUGAUAGAGCAAAUACCUUUGUGAUCUCCUCUCCUCACAGUGCGCAGCUGCUCUACCUGUUAUUGUUAAUCUUGAUGCAGCAGGCGUUUAAAGAGAGCUGUUGCCCAGGAGAAACAAUCUCAGAUUGCCUACCUCGCUCUUAAUCGCUCACUUGCUCACUCAGCAUCUCCCCAGAAAUGCACCCCACCCACCCACCCAGACUUCACAUAUACAACUACACACACACACACACACACACACACACACACACACUUACUAUCGCACUUGGAUGCCCUGCAAACAGCAGCGCGCUCUGUGAGCAGGUCAAUAGGCGUAUCACUGCAUUUCUCUAAUUGAGCCUCUGAUGAGGAACUUCCUGAGCUUGCUGCCUUUGAAUGUCGAUAAACAGACAACCCUGCACACUAAUGCAUUCCUGCUGCUUGUCACACAGUGUCAGAGGACAGAGUGUGACCUGAUUAAAAUACAACUUUUAAAUAAGGGCGCAUGCAACUCAUCAAUGGACAAUGGGCCUGCUCACACCUACUUGUGCAUUGAAAGUGUUAUUUUGAACUUUUAUUUGCCAACUAAGUGAUGCAGAAUAAAAUUUAGAGGUGGUUUUCUGGUGGUAGCUUCCUCCCAAACACAGAGUGCAUGAUAGAAAGGCUAGAUAAACUCUGUUUGUUUAUGCGUGUCUUCAGCUUUUCUUAUCCACACAGCAGUGUCCUUAUGUGCCCUACUUAACAGGCCUGGAGCUACUUCACCACCAAUAACAAAUUAUAUAUAAAAGGAAUUUUUACAGCUUGGCUUUCUGUUGAUUCAUUUCAGUGCUGGCGGGAAAGUCAAAGCCAUUAUUUAGAAAGAGCCUUAUCCAAAUGUGUCAAAAGAUUUGAAUAUUUUUCUAAAAUCUUUCAAAAAAAUCACCACAGCUAACAGUUAUUAGGUUAAUACUUCAGUGCUGCCAAGUAUUUCCAGAUUUUUGUAUCUAAUAUCUCUUAACAGGAGACAGUUUGAGCAGGUAACUUUUAUGAUUCAUUUCAUUUAUUAUUGUGAGUAUCUCUAGCAAGAACAAACCAAAACCAAGAUCAUCCCCUCUGAAUUCAUCCCAACACUGAUGAAUAGAAAUGUGACAAAUGAUUGAUAGGAGCCCCGCACAGACUUACAAAAACUUUCAGUUCUUAGAGAGUUACACACUCAAAUACAAACAGGAACCCCACCCUGGUGUGCAUGGUUUUCAUCACUGAUGUUAUUUCUGGAACAACAAACACAAGGACACCAGCUUUAUGUGGCUGUGCUGCAAGACAUCUCAGUGUAGUGAGUGGGACCUGCUUAACGCUCGUGCUCAGUCCAGACAUCAAAAAAUGCUCUCACCUACAUUGAUUUGUGGGGACCAAUUCAUCAAGGAAAAGGAAAGAUUAACUGAAGAUUAAUUGAAUAUUAAUUUUAUCUUGUUUUUAUGAUUUUUCUGUCAGUUGCAACAAUAUACUUACAUUCUCUUUGUAUGUUCAACAAGAGAUCUUUUUUAUACGGCAAAAGAGACUGGUUUGUAUCAAUGUGUGUACAGUUGUGUGUACUAACUUUAACUUUUUUUUCUUUUCCUGAUAGCUAUUGCUAACACUUCAGAGAAAAUUUGUUAACUUGCAAAAACAUCAAACACAAAUCUGUUGUUGAAACACACUAAUUAAGAGGUGAUGUAAAAAGCACAAGCACAAGCAUGGGGAUCUCUAACAUGCAAGAAGAGAUGGGACAAGAUGAGACGAGACGGGACCAGUCAAGCCAAAAUGACGGAACAGAUGAGACCAGAUGAGAUGAGACAAAAUUAUGGGACAUGACAAGAUAAAAUGACAAGACGGAAUGAGACAAAGUACGCAAUGAAAUGGCAGGACCAGACAAGACGACACAUGACAUGACAUGACAUGACAUGACAUGACAUGACAUGACACGACAUGAUGGGACAGGAAAGGAUAAGACUUGACAACUCUAAGUGAGAUGAGACAAGGGACUUGGCAAGACGGGCGGGACAAGACAAGAUGAAACGGAACAAAAUGGCAGGAUGGGACAGGACAACUUGAGAUGAGGCGGGGCAAGUAGAGAUGAAAAAGCUGAGACAAGAUAGGAGGUUCUUUAUUGUUCCCCUAUUAAAGAAAAGGUAUAAGUUUGUUGUAAGUUUCUUAGGCUAGUCCUCACACAGCUUGAUAGAAAACUUCUGCAGUGAUAAAAAAAAAAAGCGUACUUUUUUUCUAAUGUAUUAAUGGUAUAGACAUCUUUGACUUACAGGUUAUUUGGUUAUUGCUCAGUAGAAUUGUACUGGGUUGUCCUAACAGUGUGUAGCACUCAGACAUUUUUAGUCAAUAGAGUGCAUUAGUGAAUUAGGUGAUUUAUGAGCAGAUGAGGUAAAAGCAGAGAUAAAUUAAAAUAUAUUGUGGUAGAAAAUUUGAAUAUAAAAUAUAUGAAUGUAGUUAAAAAUAUAGAAAAAUAACUGGAUAAUGUACUAUAAAAUAGAUUCACAUUUUAUGGUAGUAACAUAAGAUAUAUUUGAACGAAUUAUUAAAAGCUUUAAUAUUCUGCCAAUGAUCAGACUGCUGUCCCACCUUUGACCUUUGGUGAUCAUAAAUUGUCUCUUGGUUAUUACAGUUAACUUACAGACCACUAAAAGGAUCAAGGUUAAGAGAGGUGUAUAGCUGAAAGCAUUUUAGUAGUAAUUGAACUUCUGAACACUUCAUAUAUGGUGUGCAGUGAUGAAACAUAAACAUGUGAAUGUUGUUUUUGUCUGCAGCUCGACAAAGACACACGUGUGAAAUUUAAAUCACACACUCAGACUGACUGCAGCAGAACUUCCACAGAUCUUCAGAAGAGCGGUCCAGCUCAGCGUUUCUUUUCCUCCUUACUCUUUCCUUCAAUCUGAUUCUGUACCUCUUUUUUGAUCCUCUGGGUUCUUGGUUGUAUGUUCGUGCUUCACUAUUGAGAGUGUUUCACUGAUAUUUUUUUAUUAUUAUUAUUGCACUCCUAACUGCUGUCUGUGCAGAGAGUAAAUGUGAAAAAAAUCUGAGUAAAACUUCUACUAAUUUGCUGUAGCAAUAUCCCAGUCAUGCUCUCCUCAGUAGUGGUAUAAAAAAACGAUGGGAGAGGAUAGCGCAGAAUACUAAAAAGAGGAGGGUCCUGUGCACUGACCCCUGAGGUACCCCUGUUGGUAAGCUGUCAGGUUUGGACACAUCACUCCUCAAAGAUACUCUAAGAGAUCUCCCUGAGAGGUAGAACAUGGAUCAGUGGGGGGCACAUCCUUGGAUACGAAGCUCAGAGAGUGAGGAGAGGAGGAUUUGGUGGUUGACUGUGUCGGAGAGGCAGCAGACAGAUCCAGCAGCACUGACGGAGGACUGACCAGCAGCUCUAACUAAUCAUAAUUAAUCCAUUACCUGCUGUGGUGCAGUCUCGGUGGGGUGGAGCGAAUCUCUAUUUAGAAUAUUUUCCAUUACUUGAGUCAAAAUUUUCCAUGAAAGUGUAUAAUAAUUUUCUUUUAUGCAGCUUGUUGGCUCAGAGUUUUAUCUUACACAGCUUGUUUUGUCUUUUUUUCCAUGCCUACAUACAUACACACCAUUGGGACCUUUUUGCACGGGUUGCUAUGAAGUGCUGACUUCCCCGGACCUCAAAACUGAAGCCUUUUGGAGGGUUUGUUCCUCAACUAUAUGGACUCAUGUUCUAUUUAAAGGUUAACCUUACUUAUUUCAACCACAUUAAACCCUUCACCCUUUAUAUUUCAUUACAGGAUAAUAUAAAAACAAUAAAAACUGAGAUGAAAUAGAAGUAAUAAAACACAAGGAUGGGACUGAGUGAGCCCCAGAGUCCAUUUAAAUACUCCAAAUUACUUUUAAUACAGUUUGGUUUCACUCCACAGUCUGUUAAGAGCAAAACACAACAUUUAUAAAACAAUGUGUCGGUGCUUGUUGUAAAUACUUAAGUUAAUGAUGCAGGAAGUUUCAAUCACCACAGAGUGACCUUGUCACAGUAACUACAGAGGGGAUGCUCCCCUGCCUGUGAUUUAUGUUAAAAUAUAAUGAAUAAAACCAUGAAGGCAUAAAAGGACAGGCAGGUCAUCAGUAAUAAUCUCUCCACUGUACAGGGUGAGAGAGGAAAUGUCCUCCAAGAGACUAUGAGAAAUUGAUUUAGUGUCUAAGCUCAUGAUGCAUCAUCUGUGGUGUCAUUAAAUGCAGAGCACCUUGUAUGUUUACUUAUUGAUAUGAUAUGAUUAAGUACGGGUCAAACAAACUGGAUUAAACUGGAAUUACCUUAAAACACUUCAAAAAGAAACACUCAACGACAAUGAGUGAGAUCAUUCCCACUUUUGACCACCAAAGGACAGAAAUACUAACAAAAUACACAACUUUUGUUAAAAAAUGCAUCAAAUGUACCAUGAAGGGGAGUGAAGAAAAAACUGCCAACAUACACAUGAAUGUAAACAAAGUCAGUUAGUUACAGAUAUACAGCUAUCUGUGUGUCUGUGUGUGUGCAUGUGUGUGAAUUACACUGGAUUAAAAUAGAAACAUUUGCAGGACUGCACUGGGACUAAAGCCAAUGGGUAAGACUCAACAACUUAACUCUCUGGUGACGGUGACCCCUCAGAGAAGAGGACUAUAGACAAACUACUGGACAUUAUGGACAAUGCCAGUCACCCUCUGCACACUGCCAUCAUCAACCAGAGGAGCCUGUUCAGUGACAGACUGAUCCUUCCCAACCAACAGACUGAGAAACUCCUUUGUCCCUCAUGCCAUCAGACUGUACAACUCCUCUAGGGAGGAGGAGGAGGGGUUACAGGAGGACAGAGGAUGGGAAGGAGCAGCAGCAGUAGUAGUUGUAACAGUAAUGUGCAAAUAUCCAUUGCUUCAAAUCUUACUGUUUAUAUGUAUAUAUUUAAUUUACCUUAAGUUUCAUUAUGUCUUCAUUCUUUAAAUAUAUAUUGCAUUUUUUUCUUAUUUGAUCAUUCUGUUUUUUGUUUUUUUUCUGUUACACACUAAUGCUGCUGGAAUUUUAAUCUGCCUGAGGGAACCUUCCCAAAAGGAUCAAUAAAGUUCUGUUUUAUUUCA
rnacentral:lncRNA from 1 species